UACGUAGGGUGCAAGCGUUAAUCGGAAUUACUGGGCGUAAAGCGUGCGCAGGCGGCUUUGCAAGACAGAUGUGAAAUCCCCGGGCUCAACCUGGGAACUGCGUUUGUGACUGUAUGACUAGAGUACGGUAGAGAGGGGUGGAAUUCCUGGUGUAGCAGUGAAAUGCGUAGAUAUCAGGAGGAACACCGGUGGCGAAGGCGGUCAACUGGCCCUAAACUGACGCUCAGGCACGAAAGCGUGGGGAUCAAACAGG
rnacentral:rRNA from 1 species